GGGGAUAUAGCUCAGUUGGUAGAGUGCUUGCCUAGCAUGUAAAAGGUCCUUGGUUCAAUUUCCAUCUCCA
rnacentral:tRNA from 1 species